rnacentral:rRNA from 1 species
UACGAAGGGGGGCUAGCGUUGCUCGGAAUCACUGGGCGUAAAGCGCACGUAGGCGGAUUGUCAAGUCAGGGGUGAAAUCCUGGAGCUCAACUCCAGAACUGCCUUUGAUACUGGCGACCUUGAGUCCGGGAGAGGUGAGUGGAACUGCGAGUGUAGAGGUGAAAUUCGUAGAUAUUCGCAAGAACACCAGUGGCGAAGGCGGCUCACUGGCCCGGUACUGACGCUGAGGUGCGAAAGCGUGGGGAGCAAACAGGGAUUAAGAAACC